GGCAGCGUGGCCGAGCGGUCUAAGGUGCUGGAUUUAGUCUCCAGUUUCUUUGAAGGUGUGGGUUUGAAUCCCACUGCUGCCA